GACGAACCGUGCGAACGUUGUUCGGAAUCACUGGGCUUAAAGGGCGCGUAGGCGGGCUGUCAAGUUUGGGGUGAAAUCCCGCGGCUCAACCGUGGAACUGCCUCAAAUACUGACGGCCUCGAGGAAGGUAGGGGCAUGCGGGACUGUAGGUGGAGCGGUGAAAUGCGUUGAUAUCUACAGGAACUCCGGUGGCGAAAGCGGCGUGCUGGACCUUUUCUGACGCUGAGGCGCGAAAGCUAGGGGAGCAAACAGG
rnacentral:rRNA from 1 species